rnacentral:rRNA from 1 species
AGAGUUUGAUCCUGGCUCAGAAUGAACGUUGGCGGCGUGGAUUAGGCAUGCAAGUCGAGCGCGAACCCCGCAAGAGGUGAAAGCGGCGAAAGGGAGAGUCACGCGUGGGUAUCUUCCCUCGGGACUGGGAUAGCUGCGGGAAACUGCAGGUAAUACCAGAUGACGUCCCCGGACCAAAGGUGUGAUUCCGCCUGAGGAUGAGCCCGCGUCCUAUUAACUAGUUGGUGGGGUAAUGGCCUACCAAGGCAAUGAUGGGUACUGGGUGUGAGAGCACGACCCAGCUCACUGGGAAUGAGACACUGCCCAGACACCUACGGGUGGCUGCAGUCGAGAAUCUUCGGCAAUGGGCGAAAGCCUGACCGAGUGACGCCGCGUGUGGGAUGAAGGCCUUCGGGUUGUAAACCGCUGUCAGAGGGGAGGUAAUGGGCGGAGGGUCAUCUCUUCGUUUUGACCUAUCCUCAGAGGAAGUACGGGCUAAGUUCGUGCCAGCAGCCGCGGUAAU